rnacentral:RNase_P_RNA from 2 species
UCCUGACGAAUGCCGUGUAUCUUUGCUCACACACAGACACCGCUGCUCGCAGCACGUCUCCCUCUGGCAAAUGAGAAAUUCGGAGUAAUCUUCAAACUGCACGUCACCCGCGGCUUCGGUCGAUGGCUCUGACAACUGCCCGUGAGGGCCUGCCAUGACACUCAUGGUUGCACUCGGCAUCAGAAAUCUCAGCCCGGAUUGGCAGAGGCGGACAACUCAGCAAUGGGCGGUCCAAGUCUGGUUGGUCUGUGGCUAUGGGAGCCGGUGCGAAGAUUGUGUGUACUACGGUACGAUCACUUUAGUGCAAUACGCGGCGUAUCUGAGCUUUCUGCGCACCUGUCGUAAAGAUAUGGUGGGUGGGGGCGCAGGGUAUCAUUCGAUUCCGAUCAUUCUUGUCAGGA